UUAAACUUUUAGGAAAAAUAGUUUUCCUUCCUCUCUUUUUCUCUCUUGGAAACUCUUUCUUUAGUAUGUAAAAACUCUUACUUUUGGUGUGAGAAAAAAUGAGUGAAAUGAGAUCUCUAUUUAUAGGUAAAUAUCCCAUAACUUAAAGCAAAUGAAGGGUCAAAUUUCAUUUAAAAGAAAAAACAUGGGUGCCAUUUAAGUUUGAGGUUAAAUGCUUCAAUUUAGUGGGGAUUUUAUUGCCAA
rnacentral:lncRNA from 1 species